AUUGUUAUCCAGCUCAGUGGUUGGUGCAGAAAAAUAUAAUGGUAAGGUCAUAUUCAACAACUCUUUCAAGUAUACUCGGUGACGCCUUUUCUCUAUGGUUGUUUCUGCCACGUUGUCUAUGCGUUAGCUAAUGCUAUCCUUUUUUGUUUGUUUGCAUUGACAAUUUCAAGAAGAAUACGUUCAUAGCCUAGGCCCACUAUCAAUGGACUAAUGUAAUAUACAUAGCCUACUAUUCAAAUACAACAUUGAACUUACACUCAAAAGUGUGGUGAAGUUCCCAGCACGAUCAGUAGGCCUACGGGAGCUGCACAGCGGACAGAGCAGAUGGGCCAUAAGCAAAACAAGCGCCAGAAGAGGACAAGAGGAAAGACGGAGGGUAAAAUCAUAUAUUUCCUUCAAAUAGGGUGAGAUGAACCACAGAUGUUUGUGGACGAGAUGAGCUGACUCCCACAGCUGGUGAGAGAACAUUCUUGUCAAUGAGUGGGACAAUGAUUCUUGUCAACCUCCUCGAGUCUCAUGCCAGUACCACGAAUCAUUGAAUCUGUGCUCUCAGACAUGAAAUUAAAUCACAUAUUAGAAAUAAAAGGGGUUGUCGUAGGUUGAAUCCAGAAACACUUGGGAAACAUCCUGGCUUCCCAAUUCCCCUACCGGCCUUGACGAACUUCAGAGCACCGUGACAUUGCUCCAUCAAUCUGUGUUUAAGACUAGCACAGCCGGCCAUGCUAGGGCUCUCUCUCUCUCCCUCUUUCUGUCUCUCUGUCUCCCUCUCUCUAUGGCUCCUCUUAUCUGACACCUGCAGUUAAAUGAACACCAGAGCAGAACUGACCAUGACUGCCUAAUAAGAGGCAGAACAAACACAGCCAUUGAGAGAAUUCAUCCCAAUUCAAAGGGCCAUCAGAGUGGAAAAGAGGCUCAAAUGCACACAAUUCAGAGCUGCAGCAACAAAAAAAAAAGAAAACAUACAAAAAUAAGAAGAGUAUGUAUUAGAACAAAAUACAUUCUGGUAAAGCUCCAUAUAAGUAACACAUGGGAGGCCAGAUCUUUUGAAUUUCCCCAGUUUUUACUUAAAGUGCAACCAUGUAAAAAAAAAGAAAAAAAUACAUGCAGAAAUAUUAACAUGUGACUGUUUACCCAUUGCUGUACCCUUGAUCUGAACAUAGUCUUUUUAGGCCAUACCUUGUGGUGUGGCUGCAGCCCCCAGACCAGACCACAGCCCAGCCUACUGGGACAAGAGACCCAGGUCUUUGUUCUGCCCGACCUAACCGCCAGUCACCAGCUAGGGGGAUGAAGACGUGAUGGUCUACCCUCCUGUCCCCCAGCCCUCUAGCCCCUCAUCCCUCCAGCCGAUUCAACCCUCAGCACCCAGAGCUAUUCCAGUGGAGCCCCAGAUGCUAUAGGGGAUGGAACAGGGAGUCCGGACAGGCUGAGUUAGCUUAAAGACAUAUAGUCAGCUGAGAAACGUUCCACUAUAGGAAAGAGAUGGGCUGUGCGUGGGCAUGACCGACAGAGGGGAAUCACAGGCAAUACAAACAGUGGGACGCAUACUAGGAUUGCGUGUGCUUUAUUGCAUACAUUGACAUACAAAGCCUACCUAGACGAUGAAACAUGUAUGUACCAUACUAUCUA
rnacentral:lncRNA from 1 species